rnacentral:tRNA from 1 species
AGGGAUGUAGUUAAUCAUAACAUUUGACUUGCAUUCAAAAAGUAUUGAAAUUCAAUCUUCCUUA